rfam:Triticum urartu cultivar G1812 contig296167, whole genome shotgun sequence.
AUACCUUUCUCGGCCUUUUGGCUAAGAUCAAGUGUAGUAUCUGUUCUUAUCAGUUUAAUAUCUGAUAUGUGGGCCAUGUGCCCACAACGAUAUUAAAUUUAUUUUUUAUGGGGAAGGGCCCAUCACAGUGGCUUGCUGCUGGGGCCCUUGCGUGUCGCCCAGGUGUUGCACUACUGCCUGGGCUGGCGCACCUCAC